rnacentral:lncRNA from 1 species
GGGGAUUGCUCAAAUCUUGGUGACAACUUAUACGCUAUAGCUUGUAAGUUUUUUGAUGUCAAAUACUGUUUGUCCAUGGAUUUGAGCAAAUACGCUAUAGCGUACUCCAAGCUAAAGGCUAGAACUUCGUAAACAUGUAUAAUGUCUAUACAGAGACAAAACUUUGGUCUUCAAGACCAAUAAGAUAUGUGCUCACAAUUAUCUUUAGGAGUAUGCUCUACGUCAGUUUUUCCCUAACUAGAUUCUUAACCGACUAAACACUCACCAAAAGCAAGAUUUCUCUAACCACAAAAUAAAGCUAUCCAUUAACUAGUCUACUAUCUUCGUAAUUAUCUAUUCUGACAAUUACUGUUUCGGCAGAAACUGCAGGCAUCUGUGCAUUGCUUUCCAAACCUACGACAACCACAACGGUUUCCACAGCCGGUCCUACAUUUACAUUUAAUCGCUGCAAUCCUCCUCUCCUCCGCUUGUAUCAUUGCCUGUUUUAAAUGAGAAGCACUCUCCAUAGCAUUCGAUAAUAUUGACUGAAGUCUCAUGCGGAUAUAAGAAACGGUAUUUUCUACAACAAUGUAUGCUUUCAGCAACUGAUUAGCAGUAUAUGAAAUUAUUUGUAAAUAAAGCAUAUCAAAUACUCGAUAACCUUGGUUGAUGAGUCGCCAUAUUCGAUUUUCAAGUUCUCGGUAUCUAGCUAAUAUAAUGGCUCUAUAGUUAUCCAACGGUAGAGUAAGUUGAUUCACCGUUCCAACAAUCGCAGCAGCAUCACGCAAUACGCCAUGUAAAUUUCUAAUGCACUGUAGGUUGUCGUCGUUUAGCAUGGCCACCAUUAGACCCGCGUUGCUACUGUUUACCAAAUCAUUCGUUCUAUCUUUGUCGAGCAAAAGAGAAUUGCUAAGCUCUUGCAGCUCUCGCAGGUAUUGCUGAUCUUCCGGGUUUAACAUUUAUCUGCAUAAUAAGAUUUUAGUAAUUCAAACAAAGGCCUAAACCAUAAAUCUUCCCUAAACCCUAAAGAGUUGGUGAAAGGUGGAAUUCCACGGAUAUAGAAAAACAAGAAUAAUAAACUGAAGACAAGAGAGGUAAUGUGUUAACCACUAUAAAGUUUCUAGAUUAACAUGCUAAUAGAGAUUAUGAUGUAAACCCACAAAAGAAUAGCUUUCAUCUAAAUCAAGUAGUCUACUCCACCAUGAUUAUUAUUAUUACUAUUAUUUUUUUAGAUUCAAACUAAACAAUUGAUACACUCGACUACGAUCACCUACAGAAAUACACGAAAGUUGACGAGCAACAACAUAACAGAAGAAGCCAACAAAGUUAAAGGCAGAAAAUAAUAAGGAACCUCACUCACCUGAUGAUGGAAGGGACAGACGGGAGCCAAAGAUAGCAAGGAAAGGGUCAAAUGCAAGUGAGAUGAUGCCGUUUCAUCUAAGAAUGAUCAAAUACAAGUGAGACCUCACACAAAUUCAAGGAAUAAUGUCAGUUCAUUAAAAAAGUAAAACUAAAGUAAAUAUGAUGAUAAAUAAAUGUGCAACCAAAAAAUGGGAAUCUUUCUUCCAGACCAAAUAAAAUUAACAAAAGGUUCUUACUUUAAAAACUCUUCUUUUGCAUAAAACAAUUAGGAGAAAAACAAACCCCUAUUCCAAAAAUGGAAACUGACAAUUGUCACAGCAGCUAAAUUUCCAGAGAUGUCAACAAAUAAGCCUAUCUAAAAUCUUCCAUACUAAGGCUCAAAUUUUUUUCCAUUUUUGCUGUGAACUGCAGAUGAGUAAGGCAAUGAUGAGCCGUUGGAUUUCUGACAUUUAUGGACAGAAAAUCAACAGAUUUGAUUAAAUUAGUUUACACGAGCACUGAAAGUGGGGAACUUGAAAAUUAAAAAAAUGUUUACGGCUGAUUGUAUCACUGAGCCCCAGUGGAGUGGCGCCAACAUUAAUGAUUCCGGCUUUAAGAAUUUGGCGAAAUCAUCGGCGAUAACGGAUGGAGUUCAAGUUCCCUUUUCUUUUUUCUACUCUUCAAUUUUAACUUCAUCAAUUUUCUAGCAGUAGCACCUCCAUGGAGCUCGAGAGGGCAAUAACUUUCAAGCGCCAAAACAAAUUUAAGAAAAUCCUUUUUUAUUUUUCACAUGUUCAAGAGAUAUUGAUAACUUAUAUUAUUAGUUUCAAUCCUAUUAAUAGACUAAAUCUUCAGAAAUGUUAAAAGUUUUUUCGUCAAUAUUGUUUAAUGUGAAUUGAUUACUCCUUUACUCGAUCCAACUUACCUAGUCCUUCCUUCUCACAAGAUAAAAUGCUUGAGAAUCAGCCCAAUUUUUCUUAAUCCACAAAAUGGCAGUAGCUAUAUAGACAUUAUACACACUAAACAAAGAAACAAUCCUACUUAAAAUGGAGGAGUACCUCAGUCAUAAUGCCACAAACCCUGCCUCGAGCUAAACAUAACCCAAAUGACCAAGGAACCUCACAAAUUCAACUUAACAGAGUCAUAGAACCAAUGGAACGACUUGUUGGCUGAGAACACAGCCAUUUAACACAAUUUCAAAUUUAAAGUAUACCAACAAUGUAUUUGUGGG